rnacentral:rRNA from 1 species
GACAGAGGGUGCAAACGUUGCUCGGAUUUACUGGGCGUAAAGCGCGUGUAGGCGGGCGACUAAGUCGGAUGUGAAAUCCCUGGGCUCAACCUAGGAACUGCAUUCGAAACUGGUCACCUAGAGUGAUGGAGAGGAAAGCGGAAUUCCCGGUGUAGAGGUGAAAUUCGUAGAUAUCGGGAGGAACACCCGUGGCGAAGGCGGCUCUCUGGGACGGUACUGACGCUGAGACGGCGAAAGCGUGGGGAGCGAACAGG